rnacentral:ncRNA from 1 species
CCGGGUCGAACGCAGACACCCGGUAGCCAAGACAUCCGUCUCAAGUGCUGC